AGAGGGAUAGCUGGGUCAAAUGGUGGUUCCAUUUCCAGAUUUCCAAGAAAUCUCCAUACUGCUUUCCAUAUUGGUUGCACCAGUUUGCAGUCCCACCAGCAGU
rnacentral:pre_miRNA from 1 species